GUGAAAAAGGUUUUUCCAAACUCAUCCCUAACUGAACAUGAGGAUGAAUUGGCAUUAGGUGAACACAGUCAGUUAUUCAGUCUACCACCUGACAGUGUGUUAAAGUUAAAUUCUGUUAGUGCUGCACUAAAAGAAUUGUUAGUAAUAAGUCCAUGCAGCGAAGGAAGUGAACAAUUGUGGGACCAUAUUUGGGCUGAAAAUGGGUGUGGUACGGAAACCCAGAAAUAGCACGAGUUCAACAUAAAACAUGAAUUAGAAUUUUAGUGGGGGAUCAAGUCAAGUCUGGAAGUGUUACAGGAUGGAAGAGUGAGCCUACAGUUGAAAAACACUGAAAGUGCAUUACCAUUAAGGUAUGAGGUAAAGUAAUAGAGUAUGCAAAUUGUCUAAUGAGAAGUACCAUCUUGUGUGAAUGAAUCCUGUGUAACAGCAAUCCUUUAUAGUUCUGUCACAGCUAGAAGCCUCAAAUAAUUCUGCUUCUCUUGCUAAAGAACAACUUGUCCUUUACGUUCAGAGUGUUGGUGAAGCUGGGUACUUAAAUGGCCCUAAAGAUGUUUCAUUUCGUUGGCAUUGCAGCGAUGAACAUCAUACAUGGACUUUUUAGGAAAGGAUUUUCAGCAUACUGGGAACACAACUAUCAACAAUGCAACAUUCUAGGGGUGCUAUUUUAUCAUUCAAGAGCCUUAUACAAUGAUUUUCAUCUGCAAUUUGUAUGGCCUUUCCCAAGCUUCUGCCAGAAGUUGAAUCUAUAAGUCAUGUAAGUCACAUGAGCAACAAUUGAGAUGCUUAAUGGUGUUUUUCUUUUCUCAGCAUAGGUUAAUAGUAACAUGGGAUCUGAAAAGAUUCUUGGUUGGGGCAAGACACUGAAUAAAUUGUAAUGAUUGAA